GGUUAAGCGACUAAGCGUACACGGUGGAUGCCCUGGCAGUCAGAGGCGAUGAAGGACGUGCUAAUCUGCGAUAAGCGUCGGUAAGGUGAUAUGAACCGUUAUAACCGGCGAUUUCCGAAUGGGGAAACCCAGUGUGAUUCGUCACACUAUCAUUAACUGAAUCCAUAGGUUAAUGAGGCGAACCGGGGGAACUGAAACAUCUAAGUACCCCGAGGAAAAGAAAUCAACCGAGAUUCCCCCAGUAGCGGCGAGCGAACGGGGAGCAGCCCAGAGCCUGAAUCAGUGUGUGUGUUAGUGGAAGCGUCUGGAAAGGCGCGCGAUACAGGGUGACAGCCCCGUACACAAAAAUGCACAUGCUGUGAGCUCGAUGAGUAGGGCGGGACACGUGGUAUCCUGUCUGAAUAUGGGGGGACCAUCCUCCAAGGCUAAAUACUCCUGACUGACCGAUAGUGAACCAGUACCGUGAGGGAAAGGCGAAAAGAACCCCGGCGAGGGGAGUGAAAAAGAACCUGAAACCGUGUACGUACAAGCAGUGGGAGCCUCUUUAUGGGGUGACUGCGUACCUUUUGUAUAAUGGGUCAGCGACUUAUAUUCUGUAGCAAGGUUAACCGAAUAGGGGAGCCGAAGGGAAACCGAGUCUUAACUGGGCGUUAAGUUGCAGGGUAUAGACCCGAAACCCGGUGAUCUAGCCAUGGGCAGGUUGAAGGUUGGGUAACACUAACUGGAGGACCGAACCGACUAAUGUUGAAAAAUUAGCGGAUGACUUGUGGCUGGGGGUGAAAGGCCAAUCAAACCGGGAGAUAGCUGGUUCUCCCCGAAAGCUAUUUAGGUAGCGCCUCGUGAAUUCAUCUCCGGGGGUAGAGCACUGUUUCGGCAAGGGGGUCAUCCCGACUUACCAACCCGAUGCAAACUGCGAAUACCGGAGAAUGUUAUCACGGGAGACACACGGCGGGUGCUAACGUCCGUCGUGAAGAGGGAAACAACCCAGACCGCCAGCUAAGGUCCCAAAGUCAUGGUUAAGUGGGAAACGAUGUGGGAAGGCCCAGACAGCCAGGAUGUUGGCUUAGAAGCAGCCAUCAUUUAAAGAAAGCGUAAUAGCUCACUGGUCGAGUCGGCCUGCGCGGAAGAUGUAACGGGGCUAAACCAUGCACCGAAGCUGCGGCAGCGAC
rnacentral:rRNA from 1 species